AAAACGAGCGCAUGCGCAGUGAGCAGUCUAGAGGGGGCACUGGGGAACGUGUAAGAUCUGGGGAAUCAAGCGAAGCUGGUUCUGACCAGCUGGACUGGUCUGUCUCAGUACAACUGAGCGCACUGCAACUCUGCCUCUAAAUGUAAGUGACCCCAAUGCAACUCUGUCUCUAAUGCCUCGGGGCAACUGACCCCAAUGCAACCAAUCCCAAUACAACUGCUUCCAAUAUGUUAGUGCAGCUGCCUGUAAUGUAAACAACACCUAACAUCCUGUUACAACUGCCCCUACGUGUCGUCUCUGAAUGGAUGCUCUGCAACAAUGAAAAUACUCAGCAUUUCAUACAAAUGUUAGAAGUUGUUUGCAGUGUGGUUGAAGCCGUGUUGGUCCUACAAUAUGAGGGAGACAAGGUACUCUGAGAAUACGAAACAGUCUUUAGGAUUUACAAAAAGCCUAUUUAGAUGCUUCUCAGUGACAACAUGGCCUAUCUGAUAUCCUCUUGGUACUUACUGCUCAUCUGAGCCACAUCUUAUGAAAGGGAACAUACAUGAGGAUUUCAAGCAAGACACUCCAGACAAGUGCUGAUGAUUGAAAAGACAUAAGGAAAAAAUAAGGUUUCUUUUGGAAAAUGUUCUUUUGUUAAAUUAACAGAUUUAAGGAUUUCUGAACAACUGAAAAAAUUAAUUUUACAUUAAACAAAAUUCACAAAUGUGUGUGUGACACUCUGUACCUCAAAAUAGCACCCUGGAACCCACAUAUACACCACUGUGGUAUGAUUAUGAUACGUUUUGUACAAAGUAUGCCUUGUGAGUGAGGUGUCAUUUAAAAGGUCUUCAUCUGUUGAACAUUAUUAUCUUGUUGAAUUGCAUGUACUAUCAUUGUAUGUGAAGUUAUGAAGUGUUGUUAAAAUAUGUUGUGAGGUUGGGAGAUACCUACAGCCAGUCUUUCAGUGACAACAAAGGAGCAAUUGACAAGACAGAAUUACAUCAGGACCAUCCAGACGUGUUGAUGACCCACCAAGAAAAAUCUACUCUCCCAGAGACACCUCAGAGGGGGCACAUAUGCAAUGAGGGGUACCUAAACCCCAUGUCACAGCAAGGAUUUUUCUAGCAGCUGGAAGAAAGUAUAAAAGAGAGACAGUGACAUCAUCACUUGGCCUCUCUCCUCCCACACCUCAACAGCUGUAAGAUCGUCUAGAAGACAAAGACUUUGAACUGAGGGGAUUUGUCCCAGAGUGAGAGGGAAUGCAGCCUGUGUAUUAGGAACUGUAAGCUGCCUGUAACCUCUAUUAGAGUGAGAGAAGCUGUUUGAUUCAAACCUAACUUAGUCUGUAGAAUUUAGACUGCAAGUUUAUUUCUUUUUCCUAUGUAACCAACUUUGAUCUCUAUGUCUGCUACGUAUAAUCACUUAAAAUCUCUCUUUCUUAGUUAAUAAAUAUGUUUUAUAUUUUAUCUAAAA